rnacentral:SRP_RNA from 1 species
GCCAGGCGUUGUGGCGGGUGCCUGUGGUCCCAGCUACUUGGGAGGCGGAGACAGGAGACUCGCUUGAGCCCCGGAGUUGGAGGUUGCUGUGAGCAGUGAAGCCACAGCACUCUACCCAGGGGAACAGCUUGAGGCUCUGUCUCAAAAACAAAAAAAAGCUAUCAAAGUUAAUUUCUUUCUUUUUUUUUUUUUUUUUUUUUUUGAGACAGGGCCUCAAGCUGUCCCCCUGGGUAGAGUACUGUGACAUCACAGCUCACAGCAACCUCCAACUCCUGGGCUCAAGCGAGUCUCCUGCCUCCG